GCACAGGAAAUCAGUAUAUCAAACAUACCGUUGUCUCUCUCCUUCUCUCUCUCUGACUGACAAGUGUUCUUCCACACGCUAUCUUGUGUCAGUUAAUAGUUAACGGCGACAGAGCAGAGUUGUCGUGGCACCACGACCUCAACACCUGACAUGUUCUGAGCGCCCUCCAACCCGGGCACCUCGGAUCAGCUGACUCACCAUGGGAAACUAUAUGUGUAGUACACUGAGGAAGAAGAAAAAUAAAGAUGGAGAUGACAGUGAUGAUCAUAGCAGCCCAGACGCAGAAAAGAAGGAAGAGGAUGUGACAUACGCCACCAUUGACCAUAGCAACACCAAGACAACAGGAGUCAUCGUAGAUUCUUACGCUAACGACUGUGACUACGCCAUUGUUAAACUUCCAACUUGCCCCGCCCACCAGUCAUUAAUUAAAGAAGACUGUGCAGAUGACUAUGUCUUCAUGGGCUGACCUCAUGUACAAUGUGUGUGUGUGGAGGGGGGGGGACAAUGGAGAUGCAAGGUGGACACAGGCCUGGGGCAAGCUGGACAGCACCUUUCUGAACCAAAGGACCCUAGAUAUGACUAUGAUAGCGCCCACAAAUGGAACUUUUCUUGAUGCAGUGUGGUUGCAGGAAUUAUGUGCUUCUAUAGUUGUGUUUAAUUAUGUUUUACAGUCACAUUAUGCCUAUGUUAAUGUAUACGUCUUUUCUACUAAGAGAAAUGGAUGCUUUCGUUCAGACUUUCUAUGUGGUUUAUUUGGCCUCUUGACAGAGGGAACAUACAGGCCAGAGAUUCAAAUGCUAUCGCUAUCAUACUGACCCUUGAGAUACAACUACCAACCACACCACACACACACCCUGGGCUCGUGCCUAAGAUAAUGUUUAGUACCGCAAAAGAGAGAGAUGAGAUGUUUGUGAUAGAAUUACGUGUUUGAAUUUUAUGCGAAAUAUUUUCUUUGCACAAAUCUAUUUGAAUGAGAUACAGUAAGGUGAGAGCGGGAUUGGAGAUACUGUUGUUUUGUGAACCGGUCUUAGUUGUUUCUCAAAAUCACCAGGAUCUGUCCGAUCGUAAAUCGUAUCCUAUCAAUGAUGGAUGCAAAGAUGGAUUAAAUCAACAUUGUUUGAAAAUGCCA